AGAAGCUUGCUGCCGAAAGUUUCAUGUUACCAUAGCUAAGGUUCUUGAUUUUUCUAAGCUCAAUUAUCAAGAAAGAAGAAAUAGUGCAAGUGAUCGGGGAAAAGAGAAAGUUAUCGACUAAAUUACAAAAAUAGUCGUUUUGCAUCCGAGUGAUUUGAACUUGAUCGAAUUGGGGAUCGUCGGAGCUCGUAUCACACUAUCAUAAUCAUCUCGGUAUUAUGUGCUUUUCAAAAUGUUUAAACUAUGGCAUGUAUAGAGUCUUGAUCAUUUUGAGCAUGUUCAAAUGAUAUAGCUAAUAUUAGCUAUUGAAGUAGCUAUUAAAGAAUAUGUUUUGGUGUUAUGUAUGUUAAAAUGGUAACUAAUUCAAAGAAGCAGUUUCUUUGACAGCAGCAGUGACGUGAAUGUGAAAAAUCACCAUAAAUAGUAGAAAUGGAAUUAGAGAGUGAAUUAUAUAUGGAAUUAAAUCUUAUCAAGUCUAUUUUUAUAUGAAAGAAACGGUGUAG